GAUGAACGCUGGCGGCGUGCCUAAUACAUGCAAGUCGAGCGAACAGACGAUGAGCUUGCUCCUUCCACGUUAGCGGCAGACGUGUGAGUAACACGUAUGUCACCUACCUAUAAGACUGGUAUAACUUCGGGAAACCGGAUCUAAUACCGUAUAAGAUUUCGAACCGCAUGGUUCGAUAGUGAAAUAUGGCUUUUCUAUCACUUAUAGAUGGACCUCCGCCGUAUUAGGUAGUUGUUAAUUUCACGGCUUACCAAGGCGACUAUACGUAAACGACGUGAGAGGGGGAUCGGCGACACUGGAAGUGAGACAGGGACAAGAGUCCUGAGGUAGGCAGCAGUAGGGAAUCUGACGCAGUGGGGGAGAGCAUGACGGAGUAAGGGGGAGUGAGUGAUGAAGAUCUUGGGAUCGUAAAAAUGUGUUAUUAGGGAAGAACCAACGUGGAAGUAAAUGAGGACGUAGUGACGGUAACGAGUAAAAAAGCAACGGCUAACUACGUG
rnacentral:rRNA from 1 species